AACGAACGCUAGCGGCGUGGCUAAGACAUGCAAGUCGUACGGUACGGUGUAGCAAUACAUCGUAUAGUGGCGGACGGGUGAGUAAGACAUGGGUAACGUACCUUGAACUCAGGGAUAGCGUCGGUACCCGCAAGGGUACCUAGCGAAAGCGACGGUAAUACCUGAUGAAAUCCGCGGGUGGCAUCACCUGCGGAUCAAAGACGGGACCGCAAGGCCUGUUGGUUUUUGUAGCGGCCCGACNGACCUAC
rnacentral:rRNA from 1 species